GGUCGAAUAGUUUAGUGGUUUAGAACACACCCGCCUUGUCUUCCUUCCUUCUCGAUUUUGGAUACUCCACGCUUUAACGGGCUUAACGUUACCUGAUCGUUGGUUGAGGCAACUGGGUGAAACCUGGGUUCGAUUCCCAGUUUGAUCA